rnacentral:rRNA from 1 species
UCAAGUUAUUAAGGGUGCAGGGCGGAUGCCUUGGCACUAGGAGCCGAUGAAGGACGUGAUAAGCUGCGAUAAGCUUCGGGGAGUUGCACGUAAACUUUGAUCCGAAGAUUUCCGAAUGAGGAAACUCACUUAGAGUAAUGUCUAAGUAUCAUUAAGUGAAUACAUAGCUUAAUGAGGGGAACUCAGGGAACUGAAACAUCUAAGUACCUGAAGGAAGAGAAAGAAAUUCGAUUCCGUAAGUAGCGGCGAGCGAACGCGGAUUAGCCCAAACCAAUAAAGUUUUCUUUAUUGGGGUUGCGGACAUAUCAUAACGAAGAGGUAUCGUAAUUGAAAGAGGUUUGGAAAGACCCACCACAGAAGGUAAUAGUCCUGUAUGUUAAACGAGAAGACUUUAGAUAUGAUCCAGAGUACCACGGGACACGUGAAACCCUGUGGGAAGCAGGAGGGACCACCCUCCAAGGCUAAAUACUACCUAGUGACCGAUAGCGUAUAGUUACCGUGAGGGAAAGGUGAAAAGAACCCCGGGAGGGGAGUGAAAUAGAACCUGAAACCCUGCACUUACAAGCUGUGGAAGCACAUUUCUUGUGUGACCGCGUACUUUUUGUAGAACGGGCCAACGAGUUACGUUAAGUAGCAAGGUUAAGCACUUAAGGUGCGGAGCCGUAGCGAAAGCGAGUUUUAACUGAGCGUUCAGUUACUUGACGUAGACCCGAAACCGGGCGACCUACCCAUGAGCAGGAUGAAGCGAAAGUAAAAUUUCGUGGAGGUCCGAACCCACGAGCGUUGAAAAGCUCGGGGAUGACUUGUGGGUAGCGGUGAAAUUCCAAUCGAGCCCGGAGAUAGCUGGUUCUCCCCGAAAUAGCUUUAGGGCUAGCCUCAAGGUGAGAGAUACGGAGGUAGAGCACUGAAUGUCCUAGGGGGUAUUGCACCUACCGAAGACUAUCAAACUCCGAAUGCCGUCAUCUUAUACUUGGGAGUCAGACUGUGGGUGAUAAGAUUCAUAGUCGAAAGGGCAACAGCCCAGAUCGUCAGCUAAGGUCCCUAAAUGUAAGUUAAGUGGUAAAGGAUGUGGGAUUGCACAGACAACCAGGAUGUUGGCUUAGAAGCAGCCACUCAUUCAAAGAGUGCGUAAUAGCUCACUGGUCGAGUGAUCCUGCGCCGAAGAUUUCCGGGGCUAAAACUUACUACCGAAGCUACGGCAUCAGUAAUGAUGGGUAGGGGAGCUUCCCAUACGGGUUGAAGCAUGACCGUAAGGACAUGUGGACAGUAUGGGAGUGAGAAUGUUGGCAUGAGUAGCGAGAUGUGGGUGAGAAUCCCACAGGCCGUAAACCCAAGGUUUCCAGGGAAGGUUCGUCCGCCCUGGGUUAGUCGGGACCUAAGCUGAGGCCGAAAGGCGUAGGUGAUGGACAACAGGUUGAUAUUCCUGUACUACCGAUAACCGUUUGAGAGAAGGGAUGACACAGUAGGAUAAGCUAAGCACACUGUUGGUUAUGUGUGCCCAAGCAUUGAGGCAGUCAAAGUAGGCAAAUCCGCUUUGAUAAUGCUGGGAUGUGAUGGGGAGCGAAAUUUAGUAGCGAAGUAGCUGAUUUCACACUGUCAAGAAAAGUCUCUAUCGAGGUUAAAGGUACCCGUACCGCAAACCGACACAGGUGGGUGAGGAGAGUAUCCUAAGGCCAGCGAGAGAACUGUUGUUAAGGAACUCGGCAAAAUGACCCCGUAACUUAGGGAUAAGGGGUGCCACCAUCAGGUGGCCGCAGAGAAUAGGCCCAAGCGACUGUUUACCAAAAACAUAGGUUUCUGCUAAGUCGCAAGACGAUGUAUAGGAGCUGACGCCUGCCCGGUGCUGGAAGGUUAAGGGGAUCUGUUAGAGCAAUCGAAGCAGUGAACUUAAGCCCCAGUAAACGGCGGCCGUAACUAUAACGGUCCUAAGGUAGCGAAAUUCCUUGUCGGGUAAGUUCCGACCCGCACGAAAGGCGUAACGAUUUGGGCACUGUCUCAACAACAGACUCGGUGAAAUUGUAAUUCCGGUGAAGAUGCCGGAUACCUGCGACAGGACGGAAAGACCCCAUGGAGCUUUACUGUAGCUUGACAUUGGGUCUUGGUACUACAUGUACAGGAUAGGUGGGAGGCUUUGAAACCAGGACGCCAGUUUUGGCGGAGCCAUCCUUGGGAUACCACCCUUGUAGUACUGGGACUCUAACCAUAGGCCAUGAAUCUGGUCUUGGGACACUGUCAGGUGGGCAGUUUGACUGGGGCGGUCGCCUCCCAAAAGGUAACGGAGGCGCUCAAAGGUUCUCUCAGUACGGUCGGAAAUCGUACGUAGAGUGUAAAGGCAAAAGAGAGCUUGAUUGCAAGACAUACAGGUCGAGCAAGGAUGAAAAUCGGACUUAGUGAUCCGGUGGUUCUGCGUGGAAGGGCCAUCGCUCAACGGAUAAAAGCUACCCUGGGGAUAACAGGCUUAUCUCCCCCAAGAGUCCACAUCGACGGGGAGGUUUGGCACCUCGAUGUCGGCUCAUCACAUCCUGGGGCUGUAGUAGGUCCCAAGGGUUGGGCUGUUCGCCCAUUAAAGUGGUACGCGAGCUGGGUUCAGAACGUCGUGAGACAGUUCGGUCCCUAUCCGUCGCAGGCGUAGGAAAUUUGAGAAGACCUGUCCUUAGUACGAGAGGACCGGGAUGGACGUACCUCUGGUGUACCAGUUGUUCUGCCAAGGGCAUGGCUGGGUAGCUAUGUACGGAAUGGAUAAGCGCUGAAAGCAUCUAAGCGCGAAGCCAACUUCAAGAUAAGAUUUCCCACCGCAAGGGUAAGACCCCAGAAAGACUAUCUGGUUGAUAGGUCGAAGGUGUAAGUGCAGCAAUGUAUUUAGCUUAUCGAUACUAAUAGGUCGAGGACUUGACCAA